AAAAUCCGCGUUCUAUUCAGCCUGAGAUGUGAUGCCGAGCCGAUUGUGGUGAAGUGGAUGAUCCUAUGCUGCCGAGAAAAGCCUCUAGUGAGUGUUGUGGCGGCCCGUACCCUAAACCGACUCAGGUGGUCAGGUAGAGAAUACCAAGGCGAUCGGGUGAACUGUGGUUAAGGAACUCGGCAAAUUGCCCCCGUAACUUCGGGAGAAGGGGGACCUCUGCUGGUGAUGGGCUUUACGUUCUGAGCUGGUGGGGGUCGCAGUGGCCAGGGGGAAGCGACUGUUUACUAAAAACACAGGUCCGUGCGAAGUCGUAAGACGAUGUAUACGGACUGACGCCUGCCCGGUGCCGGAACGUUAAGGGGACCGCUUAGCCAACGCGAGUUGGCGAAGGUGAGAACUUAAGCGCCGGUAAACGGCGGUGGUAACUAUAACCAUCCUAAGGUAGCGAAAUUCCUUGUCGGGUAAGUUCCGACCUGCACGAAUGGCGUAACGACUUCCCCGCUGUCUCAACCACAGACCCGGCGAAAUUGCACUACGAGUAAAGAUGCUCGUUUCGCGCAGCAGGACGGAAAGACCCCGGGACCUUCACUACAGCUUGACAUUGGCGUUUGGAACGUCUUGUGUAGGAUAGGUGGGAGACUGGGAAGCUGUCACGCUAGUGAUGGUGGAGUCAUUGGUGAAAUACCACUCUGGUCGUUUUGAACGUCUAACUCUGGUCCGUGAUCCGGAUCGGGGACAGUGUCUGGUGGGUAGUUUAACUGGGGCGGUUGCCUCCUAAAGAGUAACGGAGGCGCCCAAAGGUUCCCUCAGCCUGGUUGGCAAUCAGGUGUUGAGUGUAAGUGCACAAGGGAGCUUGACUGUGAGACUGACAGGUCGAGCAGGAGCGAAAGCUGGGACUAGUGAUCCGGCAUCGGCGUGUGGAAGCGGUGUCGCUCAACGGCUAAAAGGUACCCCGGGGAUAACAGGCUGAUCUUCCCCAAGAGUCCAUAUCGACGGGAUGGUUUGGCACCUCGAUGUCGGCUCGUCGCAUCCUGGGGCUGGAGUAGGUCCCAAGGGUUGGGCUGUUCGCCCAUUAAAGCGGUACGCGAGCUGGGUUUAGAACGUCGCGAGACAGUUCGGUCCCUAUCCGCUGCGCGCGCAGGAGACUUGAAGGGGGCUGUCCCUAGUACGAGAGGACCGGGACGGACGAACCUCUGGUGUGCCAGUUGUACCGCCAGGUGCACGGCUGGUUGGCUACGUUCGGAAGGGAUAACCGCUGAAAGCAUCUAAGCGGGAAGCUCGCCUUGAGAUGAGGUCUCCCACCACGAGAGUGGGUAAGGCUCCCGGUAGAUCACCGGGUUGAUAGGCCGGAGGUGGAAGCACGGUAACGUGUGGAGCUGACCGGUACUAAUAGGCCGAGGACUUGACC
rnacentral:rRNA from 1 species